GGGUUGCUAACUCAACGGUAGAGUACUCGGCUUUUAUCCGACUAGUUCUGGGUUCGAGUCCCGGGCAACCCA
rnacentral:tRNA from 1 species